rnacentral:rRNA from 1 species
GACGAACGCUGGCGGCGUGCCUAACACAUGCAAGUCGAACGGAGAGGACAUGAAGUAUUUCGGUACGGAAUGCUCUCUUAGUGGCGAACGGGUGAGUAACACGUGGGCAACCUGCCCCAGACUGGGGGAUAACAUUGUGAAAACAGUGCUAAUACCGCAUGACAGGGUUCCGGGCAUCCGGGACCCUUGAAAGGAGAAAUCCGGUCAGGGAUGGGCCCGCGUCCAAUUAGCUAGUUGGCGGGGUAACGGCCCACCAAGGCGACGAUUGGUAGCCGAACUGAGAGGUUGAUCGGCCACAUUGGGACUGAGACACGGCCCAGACUCCUACGGGGGGCAGCAGUAGGGAAUAUUGCGCAAUGGGGGGGAACCCUGACGCAGCAACGCCACGUGUGGGAAGAAGCAUUUUCGGUGUGUAAACCACUGUCGGAAAGGAAUAACGGAAGACUUCGGUCUUUAUGAAUGUACUUUUAGAGGUAAGCACCGGCAAACUUCGUG